rnacentral:rRNA from 1 species
CCUACGGGCGGCAGCAGUGGGGAAUAUUGGGCAAUGGGCGCAAGCCUGAUCCAGCAACGCCGCGUGAAGGAAGAAGGCUUUCGGGUUGUAAACUUCUUUUGUCAGGGAAGAGUAGAAGACGGUACCUGACGGAUAAGCCAUGGCUAACUACGUGCCAGCAGCCGCGGUAAUACGUAGGUGGCAAGCGUUGUCCGGAUUUACUGGGUGUAAAGGGCGUGUAGCCGGGUUGAAAAGUGAGGUGUGAAAUCCUGGGGCUUAAACGCAGGACUGCAUUUGAAACUGUUGGUCUUGAGUACGGGAGAGGCAGGCGGAAUUCGUAGUGUAGCGGUGAAAUGCGUAGAUAUUAGGAGGAACACCAGUGGCGAAGGCGGUCUGCUGGACAGCAACUGACGGUGAGGCGCGAAAGCGUGGGGAGCAAACAGGAUUAGAUACCCGUGUAGUC